rnacentral:rRNA from 1 species
AACGAACGCUGGCGGCAUGCCUAACACAUGCAAGUCGAACGAGACCUUCGGGUCUAGUGGCGCACGGGUGCGUAACGCGUGGGAACCUGCCCUUAGGUUCGGAAUAACUCCCCGAAAGGGGUGCUAAUACCGGAUAAUGUCUUCGGACCAAAGAUUUAUCGCCUUUGGAUGGGCCCGCGUUGGAUUAGCUAGUUGGUAGGGUAAAAGCCUACCAAGGCGACGAUCCAUAGCUGGUCUGAGAGGAUGAUCAGCCACACUGAGACUGAGACACGGCCCAGACUCCUACGGGAGGCAGCAGUGGGGAAUAUUGGACAAUGGGCGAAAGCCUGAUCCAGCAAGGCCGCGUGAGUGAUGAAGGCCGUAGGGUUGUAAAGCUCUUUUACCCGGGAUGAUAAUGACAGUACCGGGAGAAUAAGCUCCGGCUAACUCCGUG